CACGUAGGGGGCGAGCGUUGUCCGGAUUUAUUGGGCGUAAAGAGCUCGUAGGCGGUUUCGUAAGUCGGGUGUGAAAACCCCAGGCUCAACCUGGGGACGCCACCCGAUACUGCGAUGACUAGAGUCCGGUAGGGGAGUGUGGAAUUCCUGGUGUAGCGGUGAAAUGCGCAGAUAUCAGGAGGAACACCAACGGCGAAGGCAGCACUCUGGGCCGGAACUGACGCUGAGGAGCGAAAGCGUGGGUAGCGAACAGG
rnacentral:rRNA from 1 species